rnacentral:tRNA from 1 species
GUAUCUAUGAUUGAGUGGUGAAAGCGCCCAACUCAUAAUUGACAAAGUCAUAGGUUUAAUCCCUACUAGAUGCA